ACGAACGCUGGCGGCGUGCUUAACACAUGCAAGUCGAACGGAAAGGCCCUGCUUUUGUGUGGUGCUCGAGUGGCGAACGGGUGAGUAACACGUUAGUAACCUGCCCUUGACUUUUGGAUAACUUCAGGAAACUGGGGCUAAUACCGGAUAGGAGCUCCUGCUGCAUGGUGGGGGUUGGAAAUUUUCGGCGGUUGGGGAUGGACUCGCGGCUUAUCAGCUUGUUGGUGGGGUAGUGGCUUACCAAGGCUUUGACGGGUAGCCGGCCUGAGAGGGUGACCGGCCACAUUGGGACUGAGAUACGGCCCAGACUCCUACGGGAGGCAGCAGUGGGGAAUAUUGCACAAUGGGCGGAAGCCUGAUGCAGCAACGCCGCGUGCGGGAUGACGGCCUUCGGGUUGUAAACCGCUUUCGCCUGUGACGAAGCGUGAGUGACGGUAAUGGGUAAAGAAGCACCGGCUAACUACGUG
rnacentral:rRNA from 1 species